rnacentral:rRNA from 1 species
GACGAACCGUGCGAACGUUGUUCGGAAUCACUGGGCUUAAAGGGCGCGUAGGCGGACGACCAAGUCGGGGGUGAAAUCUUUCGGCUCAACCGGAAAUAGCCUUCGAUACUGGCCGUCUAGAGGAGGUAGGGCGUGUGGAACUUCCGGUGUAGCGGUGAAAUGCGUAGAUAUCGUAAGGAAGACCAGUGGCGAAGGCGGGUCUCUGGACAGUUCCGUGACGCUGAGGCACGAAGGCCAGGGGAGCAAACGGG